GACGAACCGUGCGAACGUUAUUCGGAAUCACUGGGCUUAAGGCGCGUGUAGGCGGAUGGGGACGUCGGUUGCUGAAAGCCCCCGGCUCAACCGGGGAACGGGCUCCGAAACGCCCCGUCUGGAGGGACGUAGGGGGACCUGGAACUUCCGGUGGAGCGGUGAAAUGCGUUGAGAUCGGAAGGAACGCCCGUGGCGAAAGCGAGGUCCUGGACGUUUACUGACGCUGAGACGCGAAAGCUAGGGGAGCGAACGGG
rnacentral:rRNA from 1 species